AUGGUAAACACUAAAAACAUCUUCUUCUUCAAACCCUCUUUUCUCUUUGCAUUUCUCCCAUUACUGUAACGGUCACUUCCUCCGUUCCCUCUUAAACCCUCCAUUUUCUCUCUCUCUAAAACGCCUCUCUCCUACCAAUGCCGAUCAAUUUCGCUCUCUUCCUCCUCAUUGUCCCGAUUCUCUGCAGCGCGGCGGAGCCCCAGCAUCCGUCGAUCAAAGGCCAAGGCGGCGCGACGGAGCUCUGGUGCGUGGCCAAAAACAACGCCGACGACGCCUCUCUGCAAUCCGCACUCGACUGGGCCUGCGGCGCUGGCGGAGCCGACUGUUCCCCAAUCCAGCCCAGUGGCGCCUGCUACGACGCCUCCAAUGUCCAGAACAUGGCCUCCUUCGCCUUCAACGACUACUUCCUCAAACACGGCAUGACUGACGACAGUUGCUUCUUCCAAAACUCCGCCGCUGUCACUUCCUUAAACCCUAGCUAUGGAAAUUGCAGAUUCCCAUCUAGUUCGUUGAGAAAUGGGAACUUUUCAAGCCAAUCCACAUCCGUAGGGCUGGGGCCAAGCGAAGACCUAAGCGGAUCGGGUCGAAGAUCGAGUCGGAUAUGGGUUUGGCCCAUAGCAAUCGGGCUGUUGUUGCGUUUGCGACAACAUUAAUGUUGUAGAAUCAACACGCUGAGAAAACUAUCGUCGAUCAAUCAGUCGGCUGCCCGACAUUACAAGAAAUAUUUUUUAUAAAGGUUGAAUUCUUCUUGAAGACCUUUCUCUACUUAGAAUCCGUCCAAAUGAACUCAAUCGGGAGCUUGACCCACCGCCGCUCUCCGCCACCGGAGCCUCCCGGGGUUCCGGCCGAAUCAUCGGCGCCGCCUCCGUCCGGC